rnacentral:ncRNA from 2 species
UAUAUUGCAACGAAAACAGGUACUUUCUUUGUGAAGGUUUAAAAGGGAAGUUUGGUGUAAUUCCAACGCGGUCCCGCCACUGUAAAUGGGAGCAAACUGUAAUAUCCACUUUAUCCAUUAAAGGAUAAGGGAAGGUACAGGGAGCAAUGAUCAUGAGCCAGGAGACCUGCCUGUUUUUUGAGUGCACC